GGUCCUCUUCUCCUUAGAUGACAUCAAACUCCACAGUCAUUCCAUAUCCUACCCAGCAAAGCCAAAUCUAGCUCAUCUGAACCAUUGCCCUCCGGUUAUAAGGGAGGAAAGAGAGAAUGACUCAGCUCAAAGAAAAUGCUUAGAUAUGGAUACAGCCUGCUACUUCUCAUGUAAGUCUUCAAAAUCCAGCAUGUAUUUUACAUUUAUGGUCCAUCCCCAGUACUCUAGCCUCCUUUCAAAUGAACAAUAGCCACAUGGGGCUGGUGGCUUCCACAUGGGACAGGAUGGGUCUAGACUGCAUUUCUUCAUUUAUAACAAAGCUGCAUUUCCCUCUUUGGAGUUUGUAGG